rnacentral:rRNA from 1 species
GACGAAGGAUGCAAGCGUUGUCCGGAUUCAUUGGGUUUAAAGGGAGCGUAGGUGGACUGAUAAGUCAGUGGUGAAAUCUUUGGGCUUAACCCAAAAAUUGCCAUUGAUACUGUCGGUCUUGAGUAUAGUUGCCGUUGGCGGAAUAUGACAUGUAGUGGUGAAAUACAUAGAGAUGUCAUAGAACACCGAUUGCGAAGGCAGCUGACGAAACUAUAACUGACACUGAGGCUCGAAAGUGUGGGGAUCAAACAGG